rnacentral:lncRNA from 1 species
UGAGACGGCAGAUUGAUGAACAGCAAAAGAUGCUAGAGAAAUACAAGGAACAAUUAAAUAGAUGUGUGACAAUGAGCAAGAAACUCCUUAUAGAAAAGAUGAUGAUUAUUCCCCACCUUCUAAGAGACAAAGACCAACGAGCCACCACAGCCACCGGUCCCAGAACCCGCCAAUGCUGGGGAACGGAAAAUGAGGGAGUUCAACUCUGGCCCUCACAAUCCAGUGGAGGAGACGAAACUCAGCUGCCUCUGUCCCUCUGGGCACGCCUCAUGCCAGGUGCAUCUGUGGACAGGGGCCAUGCUCCUGGGCUUCCAAAGUUGGAGAAAGCUGCCAGGCUCAGGUCUGAAGGCCAGAAUUCUACAGUAAGUCCUACUCAGUCAAGGUGGGAGCAGGGUCAGUGGCUUCCGAGGCUCUGCGGGAGAAUCCGUUUCCUGGCCGUGGAGGUGGCCUGCACUCCUCAGCUUGUGCUGCCCGUCUCGAAUGACUGGAGUUUCCUGCUUCUGUCACUACACCUCCCACCCUCUCCAUCACCUGCUCUGCUCUUAUAAGGAUCCGAAGAAAUGGAAUAAUCGUAUCGCUGAUCUACGUAAACAAAUUGAAGAAUUGUCUGAAAGAAAAUAUGUUAUGUCUAAACUGGAAAAGUCCUGUAAUCUUAUGUUCAUGGGCUUUUACACAAUGGAGUUACUGUUCAUCAUGGGGGUACCGUGGACAAGCCCAGAGCUGCCGGCGAGUCAUGCCAUCCUUACACGUUUCUCCUUGGAAGACGUGAACUUAUGAAUUCAACAGGUGAAGAUUUACAACUUGAUAAAUCAGCUUCAUGAGAGCCACCUGAGCUGAAGAUUCCCUUGAGAACAAGUACUGUCCUGUGGUUUCAUGGCCUUUCUUCCAUUUGUGGUUCUUGCGAAGUGGAAUUUAAAUGACAUCUUAUCAAGAUGGAUAAACCCUAGUUUCCCAGUGCUGGAAUAUAGAAAAUGGAUGGACAAGUAAAUCCCACUCAGCACCCAUAGUCCAGGCAUGGGGACCUCAACACACCUGAGCCCCAGACAUCACCUUUCAUUGUGAGUAGCUCUGAGAUGACACUUCUGCUGUUCCCAAUUCCAGCAUUAAUUGGAUUAGAUAGUUAUUUUAUGAAGAAUUUUCAUAUGCCACAAUCC